UACCAGCACCCCGAGUGGUCGGGACGUUUAUUGGGCGUAAAGAGCUCGUAGGCGGUGUGUCGCGUCGGCCGUGAAAACCUGGGGCUUAACUCUGGGCUUGCGGUCGAUACGGGCAUCACUGGAGUUCGGCAGGGGAGACUGGAAUUCCUGGUGUAGCGGUGAAAUGCGCAGAUAUCAGGAGGAACACCGGUGGCGAAGGCGGGUCUCUGGGCCGAUACUGACGCUGAGGAGCGAAAGCGUGGGGAGCGAACAGG
rnacentral:rRNA from 1 species